UAAAAAGACACCCACCUUCUAUUGUCGAGCCGAGCUAUAAGUAAGAGAGGAAACUCUACAGCUUUCAAGUUUUGGCUCGUUUCUUGCUCUGUUGCUGUCAGCUUUGGGAAUUGAGUGAACAUCUCCAUACAGUUGUAGAACUGAAGCUAUUUGCAACAUUGCCAACAUGAAAACUCUUAGCCUUCUCCUGUUCCUGGCAAUUGGAAUUUUGGCCGUUUACGGAGAAACAGUUGAAAAUGAUCCAAUUGAUGACUUUGAUUCAGAUCCAGAAGCUUUGGACGAAGAUGCAUUGGAAGAUUCUGAAAAUGACGCAGUGGAAGAAAACGCUGAAGCUGACCCUUUGAAUCCUAUAUCGUUCUACUGUAAAUAUUGCCGCACAUGCAGUAUCUACAGGAGACACUGUAGCCGCAAUCGUUGCCAUAGCUGGACCAAACAUACGAUGAAUCACUCCUGUCGCCUUUGCAAGUACUGUAAUCCUCGUUAUUACGCCAACCUGCUCAAGCAGCAUCAGAGAAGAAUCGUCAGAAGUGUCAAAAGAAUUUUCAGAAGAUGGGGCUAGCCCGUGUAUUUGAAUAAUUCCAUCGGACAAUUUCAAAACUUCUUUUCUGCACAUUUUAUACUGUUUACAUCUAAAGUGUUAUUUUUGCAAAUAA